rnacentral:rRNA from 1 species
UACGUAGGGACCAAGCGUUGUUCGGAUUUACUGGGCGUAAAGGGCGCGUAGGCGGCGUGGUAAGUCAGCUGUGAAAUCUCCGAGCUUAACUCGGAACGGCCAGCUGAUACUGCUGUGCUAGAGUACAGAAGGGGCAAUCGGAAUUCUUGGUGUAGCGGUGAAAUGCGUAGAUAUCAAGAGGAACACCUGAGGCGAAGGCGGGUUGCUAGGCUGAUACUGACGCUGAGGCGCGAAAGCUAGGGUAGCAAACGGG